rnacentral:rRNA from 1 species
AUUCGAUUCUGGCUCAGAACGAACGCUGGCGGCGCGUCUUAAGCAUGCAAGUCGAACGGCAAGAGGUAGCAAUACCUCCUAGAGUGGCGGACUGGUGAGUAACACGUGGGUGACAUACCCUUCAGAUGGGGAUAGCUAUUAGAAAUAGUAGAUAAUACCGAAUACGAGCACAGGGGUUAGAGAUCUGUGAGGAAAGGAGCUAAGGCUCCGCUGAAGGAAUGGCCUGCGGCCCAUUAGCUAGUUGGUGAGGUAAGAGCCCACCAAGGCGAUGAUGGGUAUCCGGCCUUAGAGGGUGAACGGACACAUUGGGACUGAGAUACGGCCCAGACUCCUACGGGAGGCAGCAGCUAAGAAUAUUCCGCAAUGGACGAAAGUCUGACGGAGCGACGCCGCGUGGAUGAAGAAGGCCGGAAGGUUGUAAAAUCCUUUUGAAACUGAAGAAUAAGCGUUGUAGGGAAUGACAGCGUGGUGACAGUAGGUUUUGAAUAAGCAACGGCUAAUUACGUGCCAGCCGCCGC